rnacentral:rRNA from 1 species
AGUGAACGCUGGCGGUAGGCCUAACACAUGCAAGUCGAACGGCAGCACAGUAAGAGCUUGCUCUUACGGGUGGCGAGUGGCGGACGGGUGAGGAAUACAUCGGAAUCUACUUUUUCGUGGGGGAUAACGUAGGGAAACUUACGCUAAUACCGCAUACGACCUACGGGUGAAAGCAGGGGAUCUUCGGACCUUGCGCGAUUGAAUGAGCCGAUGUCGGAUUAGCUAGUUGGCGGGGUAAAGGCCCACCAAGGCGACGACCCGUAGCUGGUCUGAGAGGAUGAUCAGCCACACUGGAACUGAGACACGGUCCAGACUCCUACGGGAGGCAGCAGUGGGGAAUAUUGGACAAUGGGCGCAAGCCUGAUCCAGCCAUACCGCGUGGGUGAAGAAGGCCUUCGGGUUGUAAAGCCCUUUUGUUGGGAAAGAAAAGCAGCAGGUUAAUACCCCGCUGUUCUGACGGUACCCAAAGAAUAAGCACCGGCUAACUUCGCG